UCGAAAAGACUGGCAUUGAAAGCAAAGAAACAGACAUCGAAAGCAAAUAUACGAGUAGCGUAACCAAAAGGUAGGCAAGAGCGUAGGCAAAAUGGAUUCAAUAGGGUUGGUUGCUGGGAAAGUUGAACCGAAAACGAUUUUUUCAUUCUUUUUCAAAUAUAUAUAUAUUUUUUAUCAUUUGUCAUAGAGUUUUGCUCUCGCUUAAACAUUAUUUGCUUACACGUUUUUGGGUUUUGCUUUUGAUGUUUAUUUUUUUAAACAAUUCUAUACAUUUUGCUUUCAAUUGUUUGGUUUUUGAUUUCACCCGUCCUCGAAAAUAUCAUGUCAAAUUCUCAAAUGUAUUUUUCAUGUUCACGAUUUAUUUUAUUUAAAAUUCAAUACAUAUGGCGUGAAAUUGACCCUAUACAGUUGCACAUUUGAACGCAUUGAACCGAAAUGUGUCUUCCCCAUUUAACCCAACCCCUCUGAAUAAGAGUGGUGCGAGGGGCUGCCUUAAUCGACAUCCACGUCUUUUCGUUACGAAAAGAGAUUGCAGUCAGAGUGCAGUAUACUGCAAAUACUGCCUCCACAAUAACAGCUUUUUUUUACUGCAGAAAUGUUGCCUGUAAUUGCAGUUAGAGUUCUGUAUAACUACAGUCCAACUGCAGUUAUCUGCAUCCAAAAUACCACAGUGAAUUGCAGUUACUGCACUUUCAAAACUGCAAUCAUUUUUUGUAAGUGGGGAGCAGUUGUUGGGGGUUAAUUGCCCUUCUCAAGGGCAGAACAGCAUAUUUUUCCACCUUUCCGGCUCAAGGAUUCAAACCAGCAAACUUUUGGGUACUGGACCAACUGCUUAACAGCUAGGCUACCUUGUUUUUUCAAUCAAUGAGCUGUAUAAUGCUUCUUAUUUUAAUAGGUCUGUGUUGCCCCUGGUUACUGCAUUAUUCCUUUUUUUAAACGUACACCCUUUUUCUCCCCAAUUUCGUGAUAUCCAAUUGCGAUCCUGUCUCAUCGCUGCAACUCCCCAACUGGCCUGGGAGAGGCGUAGGUCGAGUCAUGUAUCCUCCGAAACAUGACCUGCCAAACCGAGCUUCAUAACACCCGCCCGCUUAACCCAGAAGCCACCCGCACCAAUGUGUCGGAGGAAACACAGUUCAACUGACGACCGAAGUCAGCCUACAGGUGUCCAGCCCACCACAAGGAGUUGCUAGAACACGAUGAGCCAAGUAAAGCCCCCCGGUCAAACCCUCUCCCAACCCGGACGACACUGGGGCAAUUGUGCACCACUCUAUGGGAUUCCCGAUCGAACCCGGGUCUGUAGUGACGCCUCAAGCCCCUGGAUACUGCUAUCAAUCCUAACCAUCUCAGGUCUAUGAUUACAGGAGGACACAAUAGGCAUAUUCUUCAUCACAUCCUUAUGGGCCUUGGCCAUUCCAGAGCCAUGUAUUUAGAAUAUCUAAAUACAUGGCUCUGGGCCUCACUAUAACCUUAAAGGCAGCGUAUACUAAAACAAUCUGCUGUACACUAAUUGUUAACACUCACACUUUGUGUCCAUCUCACCAGAUUACACAGCUUCUAUCAGUUGCACCUUACUGGCGGCAUAAUUUCAGUUUCUGAGGGACAACUACGACACCGUCCUCACAGCCAAGAACCAGAUCUGGAUCCAAAAUUAUGCUUUCACUUCAACUCAAGCUGAGCUACAGAAAAUGAACAGCUAUGUGGCUGUGGUUAAGGACCAACUGGAGAGAGACUACAUGAAACUUGUCACCUCCAAGUACCAGUCAGAGAGGCAACACAGAGACCUUGCUGCUUCUCAUAACCAAUUAGAAAGAGAGUAUGAAGGCCUACUGACAUCCAACAACAAAUUGCAAAAAAACUAUAGACCUGACCGCAUCUUAAAACAACUACAGAGAGAGAUAAAAGAUCUCACAUGAACCAGGGAACGGUCACAGUGACAACCCCUGAACAUCAGUGCAGCUUAACGCCUCGAUCACACCAACGCGUCAUUGCAUUUUGGUACACCAGAAGUACAUUAAUUUCCAAUGGAAUGCUGCGUUUGCCUUCCAGCAUUGUAGAGGCAGUUGUAGUGCGUUUUGUGUGGUACAUAUGGUGGAUUUAUCCAAUACAUGAAUGUUGAACUUUUGUUGCAAACAUAUCCAGAUGAUGCUGCGUACCAUUUUGCACAAAGACACUGUUGGUGUGAUCAAAGCGUUAUGACCAGUUGAGGUGAGAGCAUGUGAGGGUCGCAGAGACUAAAAAACAACUUCAGUUAGAUCUCAUAAGUUUCUCUGAAACCGAGGCGAUUUUGAACUGAGACUUUGUUGUGAGGGAUAGGGAUCCCCUUCAGAAGAUGCCUACAGAGCUGGUCAACUUCCUGCCUGUGGACGACACUGUCCACUCAGAGACCAGCUCACCCAAGGUCAGCAGUGUCUUGAUUUAUCUGUCCUUCUAUAUCUAUGCACUAUAUACUGUGUGUUUGUGCAAUGUGCAUGAAUAUGUUCUUGUGUAUGUGUGUUUCUGUAUGUUUGAGCAUGUGGGUGUGCAAUUUGCAUGAUUGUGUUCUUAUGUGUGUGUGUCUGUGCGCAUGUGUAAGUGUUUGUGUACAUCAUCGCCUCACACACCUUGUCUUAAGGGCUGGAAGAUUCUCUCCUCCAGGUGUUACUUCUUCUCCACUGAGAGGAGGAGCUGAAGCAGCGGUCGGGUCGACUGUGUUCAACAGGGCGGAGACCUGGUGGUCAUUAGUCCAGAGGAACAGGUAGAAAGAGUGCUGUGAGUGUGAGGGGAGAGAGUGUGUGCCUCCACCCUUCUCGGAGCUGGAGAGAAGAGACCUGCAGCAUCAUGUCUGGAUGGAUCUAAACGUCUGGCCAAGGUGCAUUGGGAAAGGAUAGCCAGCUAGCUUGUUAACAAUGGCAACCAUGCGUCGUCCAAGGUACUCUCUCCGAGACUCUCUGUAUUGGGACGAGACUGAGUGCCUGACGUACUAUGGGAUGCUCUCUCUACACGAGAUGUUUGAAGUUGUCGGUUCUCAACUGACAGAGACAGACGUUGAGGUGCUGUCGUUCCUCUUGGAUGAGACCUAUCCGGCUGGAGGGCACCCCUUGGACCCAGCUGGAUGGACCAGCGAGCCCGGUGAGGAAGACCCUGAGGCCAGUAAAGGAGUCUCCCCCAGCCCAGUGCUCCUGGAGGCCUGGCGGCGGUUACAGCCCAAGGUUCCUGCUUUGGCCUGCCCUACCGCUGCCCGCCACAAGCCCAAGAGUGGGCUAGAACUGCUGCUGGAGCUGGAGAGACGUGGGUACCUCAGUGAGGGUAACCUGGAGCCCCUGUUGCAGCUGCUGCGAGUCCUUACGCGACACGACCUCCUGCCUUUGGUGUCCCGUAAGAAAAGGAGGACAGUAUCACCAGAACGUUUCAGAGUGGACUACGGGACAGAGGACAAAAGACAGGUGUGCACAUCUGGACUGACUGACCCCUGUGCACAGACAGAAUCACAUGACGAACACGCCACCCAGCAAUGGAGGGGGGGUGUUGACUCUGCCAGGCCAACGCCCGCCCCCCUACGGAAGAAGAGGGGUAAAGGCCGCCGCUGGACCAGCAAGCCCACCUCCCACAGGAGAAGAACAGGCAUCCCUGAAACUCCUCCCCCACCUAUACCUGAGAAAGUGACCUGCGACAUUCGUCUGCGUGUGCGAGCAGAAUACUGGGAGCAUGAGUCGGCUCUGCGCGGCGGCGUCUCCUCGGACAAGCAGCAGCCCCUGGAGCGGCAGUUUGAGCUGUUCAGUCGUGCCACCUCCGUGCUGCGCGCCCGCGACCUGGGCUCCAUCAUCUGCGACAUCAAGUUCUCUGAGCUGGACAACCUGGAGGCCUUCUGGGGGGACUAUCUGAGUGGAGCGCUGCUCGAGGCCCUGAAGGGGGUGUUCAUCACAGACUCUCUGCGGAGGGUGGCGGGGAGUGAGGGGGUCCGGCUGCUGAUCAGUGUGGACCAGGAUGACUACGAGGAGGGUCGCAGACUGCUGCUGGACGCACAGGAACAACAGGCCGGCUGUUGGGGACGAGACAGGCAUCAGAGCCGUAUACACUACCUGGUCUCACGUUGUCAUACUCCCUAGACCCAACCUGAGAAAGCUGGUUAUGGACGUUCGGCUCUGACAGACAGACAGGCAGCUGUGCGAGGUCAUGAGCCCAAGGAUAGAGGAAUGAAAAGGAGAAUAAAUUAUGAAGAGGAACAUUUUUCUUUUUUCUCUCCUUUUUAAGUCUCUCAUGCUGAGAAUAGAGGAUACAGCCACUCCUAGGUCAGGGGAAUGAAUAGUCCCCAGGAAAAACAGCCAAACUUGAAGUGAAGGCAAACUGGACUAAAAGACUUGACACACUGUUCUGUUUGGAAUUGAUAACACAAGUUGUACUGAGCCUAGAUGCCCUCACGGCACUGAGGAAGAGACUGCCUCUGAGACACACACACACACACACACACACACACACACACACACACACACACACACACACACACACACACACACACACACACACACACACACACACACACACACACACACACACACACACAGAGAGAGAAACUAAACAUCCGCUGUAACACACACAAACUACCACUGUAUCUAACAUACACGCUCUGUAAAAUCAUCCACAUGAUGAACCAUCAGCGCUGCCUAUAAGACUCAUUGAAGCCAAGAGACAUUUCUUGCUAACAGUGACAACCCAGAUACCAACUAGACUGUGCGCUAAUGCUGAGCAUCUCUGGUUAUGUUUGAAGAGCGUGUGAGAUGCCCUGCAAGGCGAACUUCACCCGCCUAAAUAUUAGUUCGCGUUUCCAUUGAAAUGUAUGAUUUUGAAAAGAUGAGCGAGACUGCAGCUCUCAGACACUGAGGGAGAGAAGAUGGGGAAAUUACUAAAGCAUGAGAUUAUGUUUUUACCUUUUGGGAGAGAAUUUGAAAUAGAUGGUGAAGUGAAGACUACCUGAGGACAGUGUAGUGGACAAAUUGCUGGUCCUUCGAGAACUUGUCCACAAACACACACACCAUGAUCACAUGCCACUGGUAGUCCAAUCACUGCCAUGCUAACCCAGGGCAUGAUAGCUGUGGUCAGUGGCCAUCUCAUCUCAGAUGAUUGGAGUGAUUACCUCUCAUCCUCAGCCAACCAUGGAGAACUCAUCACAUCACCACAAGUUGUUGAACAGCAGCUGGGAAACACACGACUAGGCUGUGCUCACCCCGGCUUCCAGCAAGGCAAGGCCACUGCCUUUCCCAUUGGAACUGAAGCACAGGACAGUGCUUCAGUCAAUAAAACUGAUGUAGAGGAGAUCAAAAUCAGAAGGAUACAUCCUAGUUCCACUCAGCCCUGACUUGUAGGCCCCACUAGUGGCUCACAGAGCGCUGUCUGUCUCUAGUCUAGUCACCGUGGUGGAACUAAUGCCUGAACUCCUCUGAGUGGGAUCAAUAACCCCCUCUGUCUCACCACCACCAUGGGAGGAGAAAGAGUAAGGGGGAAAGAGAGUAGAGGUAGGAGAAGGGGAAAGAGAGUAGAGGUAGGAGAAGGGGAAAGAGAGUAGAGGUAGGAGAAGGGGAAAGAGAGGAAGAGGGAGAAGGAUCCCCACCUCCAUCCCGCCUUUCAGCUCCUGGACAGCCGCCUCAUCCUCUGGAGGAUAAGUCCCCUGAUACAACCAGGCUGCCUGGUCUGCUACAGCACUGUGUCUGGUUCACACAGCCCUAUGGGACCAGGGAUGGAGGACUAGGGAGGCACUCAGGAAAACCUUAGUAGUGUUUUGCUUUUUCCGUGUUUUGGUAUAUGGAUUCGUUAGUGUAGCUUUGUAUGGUUCAAAAGAGAAAAUAUCAAAAAUACUGUGUGUUCUAGUUCAUUAACUUAGGGUGAACUUUUGUUUAAGUAUCUGGAUAUUUUUAUUUGGGCACUGCAAAAGUGCUGUAUAUUAGUUGAAUAUAUCAGUGGAAAGUUGGAAUUAUUUCAAAUAAAAAUAAAUGAUUUAUCAAAGGUU